AGGAACCUCAUUUGCAUAACCUCAUCUAUAAAGCAUGCAGCAGGGGGCGUCAGACCAUUCCAGACUCUUCUGUGGCUGCUUGCGCAGCUGCUCCGUGCCCGGCUUAAAGGACCAGGAGAAGGGGUAGUCACUUGCCACAGCUGGAGGCUGGAGCGUGUGGCAUCACGGCUCGCCUCGCUGUGGUGGGUGCUGGCGACAGAGACGGCAGCUCGGCUGGAGUGAUUUGCUGAGAUUUGUUUUGUGGCCUAACAUCUGAUCUACCCUGAAGACACUUCCAUGUGCUGAUGAGGAGAAUGCAUACUCUUCAGCUGUUGAGUGGGAUGUUCUGUGAAUAUCUGGUAAAAAAACUGAGGCUUAGAAACAUUGAAAAAAACUUGCUCAACGUUGCAAAACAAGAAAUUUGUGACACUGGAAUUGACAUCUACAAGGGACUGAUGUAACUAAUUGCUGGAUACAUGUCCCUCAAAGACACAGAAACAGAUCUUGUAUUCUAGUGGAUCUCCAGCACCCAGUGAGGGCCUGAAACAGAGUACAUGUCCAACAAAUAAUUAUUGAAGUAAAGAUUGACAUUUCAGGAGCAGAGAUUAAUAUUCAAAAACAAAGAUGAGAAUUUUGGCAGAAAAGUCA